rnacentral:rRNA from 1 species
GAUGAACGCUGGCGGCGUGCCUAAUACAUGCAAGUCGAGCGAACGGACGCGAAGCUUGCUUCUCUGAUGUUAGCGGCGGACGGGUGAGUAACACGUGGAUAACCUACCUAUAAGACUGGGAUAACUUCGGGAAACCGGAGCUAAUACCGGAUAAUAUUUUGAACCGCAUGGGUCAAAAGUGAAAGACGGUCUUGCUGUCACUUAUAGAUGGAUCCGCGCUGCAUUAGCUAGUUGGUAAGGUAACGGCUUACCAAGGCAACGAUGCAUAGCCGACCUGAGAGGGUGAUCGGCCACCCUGGAACUGAGACACGGUCCAGACUCCUACGGGAGGCCGCAGUAGGGAAUCUUCCGCAAUGGGCGAAAGCCUGACGGAGCAACGCCGCGUGAGUGAUGAAGGUCUUCGGAUCGUAAAACUCUGUUAUUAGGGAAGAACAUAUGUGUAAGUAACUGUGCACAUCUUGACGGUACCUAAUCAGAAAGCCCCGGCUAACUACGUG